ensembl:snoRNA SNORD28 Small nucleolar RNA SNORD28
GUCAGAUGAUUAGAGCUGAUAAAGCUGACGCUUGGUGAAGUGUGACAGUUAAUAGCAUGUUAGAGUUCUGAUGGCA